rnacentral:rRNA from 1 species
UGGGGAAUUUUGGACAAUGGGCGAAAGCCUGAUCCAGCAAUGCCGCGUGUGUGAAGAAGGCCUUCGGGUUGUAAAGCACUUUUGUCCGGAAAGAAAUCCUUGGCUCUAAUACAGUCGGGGGAUGACGGUACCGGAAGAAUAAGCACCGGCUAACUACGUGCCAGCAGCCGCGGUAAUACGUAGGGUGCAAGCGUUAAUCGGAAUUACUGGGCGUAAAGCGUGCGCAGGCGGUUUGCUAAGACCGAUGUGAAAUCCCCGGGCUCAACCUGGGAACUGCAUUGGUGAUUGGCAGGCUAGAGUAUGGCAGAGGGGGGUAGAAUUCCACGUGUAGCAGUGAAAUGCGUAGAGAUGUGGAGGAAUACCGAUGGCGAAGGCAGCCCCCUGGGCCAAUACUGACGCUCAUGCACGAAAGCGUGAGGAGCAAACAGGAUUAGAUACCCUGGUAGUCCACGCCCUAAACGAUGUCAACUAGUUGUUGGGGGAUUCAUUUCCUUAGUAACGUAGCUAACGCGUGAAGGUUUGACCGCCUGGGGGAGUACGGUCGCAAGA